rnacentral:snRNA from 1 species
GUUCAUACUUUCUUUGGCUUCACAUAUACAAAACUAGAACAAGACAGAGGUUAGCAUGGACCCUGUACAUUGAUGACAUGCAAAUUCAUGAAGCCUUCCAUAUUUUU